rnacentral:rRNA from 1 species
CCUACGGGAGGCAGCAGUGAGGAAUAUUGGUCAAUGGGCGCGAGCCUGAACCAGCCAAGCCGCGUGAAGGAAGAAGGCGCCAAGCGUCGUAAACUUCUUUUGUCGGGGAACAAAGGGCGCCACGUGUGGCGUUGUGAGUGUACCCGAAGAAAAAGCAUCGGCUAACUCCGUGCCAGCAGCCGCGGUAAUGCGGAGGAUGCGAGCGUUAUCCGGAUUUAUUGGGUUUAAAGGGUGCGCAGGCGGAAGAUCAAGUCAGCGGGAAAAGUGAGAGGCUCAACCUCUUCGAGCCGUUGAAACUGGGUUUCUUGAGUGAGUGAGAAGUAUGCGGAAUGCGUGGUGUAGCGGUGAAAUGCAUAGAUAUCACGCAGAACUCCGAUUGCGAAGGCAGCAUACCGGCGCUCAACUGACGCUCAUGCACGAAAGUGUGGGUAUCGAACAGGAUUAGAUACCCUUGUAGUC